rnacentral:rRNA from 1 species
AGAGUUUGAUCCUGGCUCAGGAUGAACGCUGGCGGCGUGCCUAAUACAUGCAAGUCGUACGAGUCGGAGCUUGCUCCGGCUAGUGGCGAACGGGUGAGUAACACGUGGGUAACCUGCCCUAUAGUUGGGAAUACCUAAGGGAAACUUUAGUUAAUACCGAAUAAUGUUCACGAGAGGCAUCUCUUGUGAAAGAAAGCGGCUUCUGCCGCGCUAUUGGAUGGACCUGCGGCGCAUUAGCUAGUUGGUAGGGUAAAGGCCUACCAAGGCGAGGAUGCGUAGCCGACCUGAGAGGGUGAUCGGCCACAAUGGGACUGAGACACGGCCCAUACUCCUACGGGAGGCAGCAGUAGGGAGUUUUCGGCAAUGGGGGAAACCCUGACCGAGCAACGCCGCGUGAACGAUGAAGGUCUUCGGAUUGUAAAGUUCUGUUGUAAGGGAGUAAUGAUUUCGAGAAUGGAAUGCUCGAAAUUUGAAAGUACCUUACCAGAAAGCCACGGCUAACUACGUGCCAGCAGCCGCGGUAAUACGUAGGUGGCAAGCGUUAUCCGGAAUUAUUGGGCGUAAAGAGUGAGCAGGCGGCCGUUUAAGUCUGAAGUCAAAUGCUGUGGCUUAACCACAGUUCGCUUUGGAAACUGGACGGCUAGAGUACGAGAGAAGUAAGCGGAAUUCCAUGUGUAGCGGUGAAAUGCGUAGAUAUAUGGAGGAACACCAGUGGCGAAGGCGGCUUACUAGAUCGAUACUGACGCUCAGUCACGAAAGCGUGGGUAGCAAAUAGGAUUAGAUACCCUAGUAGUCCACGCCGUAAACUAUGAGAACUAGGUGUUUGGGAUGACCAAGCGCCGAAGCUAACGCAUUAAGUUCUCCGCCUGGGGAGUACGUUCGCAAGAAUGAAACUCAAAGGAAUUGACGG